CACUGCGAAGCUUAAAGCGUUAACCUUUUAAGUUAAAGUCAGAGACUUAAAAUCUCCACAGUGA
rnacentral:tRNA from 2 species